ensembl:misc_RNA Metazoa_SRP Metazoan signal recognition particle RNA
GCUGGGUGUGGUGGCUCACACCUGUGAUCCCAGCAUUUUGGGAGGCUGAGGCAGGAGGAUCACUUGAGGCCAGGAAUCCGAGACCAGCCUGGUCAACAUAGUGAGACCUUGUCUCUA